GAUGAACGCUGGCGGCGUGCCUAAUACAUGCAAGUCGAGCGAACGGACGAGAAGCUUGCUUCUCUGAUGUUAGCGGCGGACGGGUGAGUAACACGUGGAUAACCUACCUAUAAGACUGGGAUAACUUCGGGAAACCGGAGCUAAUACCGGAUAAUAUUUUGAACCGCAUGGUUCAAAAGUGAAAGACGGUCUUGCUGUCACUUAUAGAUGGAUCCGCGCUGCAUUAGCUAGUUGGUAAGGUAACGGCUUACCAAGGCAACGAUGCAUAGCCGACCUGAGAGGGUGAUCGGCCACACUGGAACUGAGACACGGUCCAGACUCUGACGGGAGGCAGCAGUAGGGAAUCUUCCGCAAUGGGCGAAAGCCUGACGGAGCAACGCCGCGUGAGUGAUGAAGGUCUUCGGAUCGUAAAACUCUGUUAUUAGGGAAGAACAUAUGUGUAAGUAACUGUGCACAUCUUGACGGUACCUAAUCAGAAAGCCACGGCUAACUACGUG
rnacentral:rRNA from 1 species